GCCGCCAUGACCACCUGCGGGGGACAGAUAGCGUGAGAUAGGGAACAAAACCGACAAAAGUCCCUGCCCCGGAGAAGUGUCCCAGGCAGGGGGCACAGCGGGUGCAAAGGCCCUGAGGCUUCCCCAUUCCCGGUGCAAGAAUCGAGGAGGCCAAAAGCCGAGGCUGAGAGGGGCAAGGAGCUAAGAAGUGGAGCCCCUCAGACCACGCAUUGUGUCUGCACUUUGUUCACGUCAGAUCCAGCCACCCGCCACGCCUGGGGCAGCUCCGCUGUUGGGAUCUGAAUUCCUCUACGCGGCCCUUCCCCCUGCCCGGCUGCAUCCGGCGUCUGGAUUUCCUUCCCACAGAGAGCGUCUGGAUUUCCUUCCCACAGAUAGCGCCCUCCACCUCCGGUCUCUUCCCCCUCCCGCAGCCUGAGGAUGCCUGCAGGCAACCAGGCCUCCACAUCAGAAUCCUCUGUGGCCCCCGCCUUCCUUAGAGAAAAGCUCAAAUCCCCUGCAGGGCCCAUGAACGCCUUCCCGCUGGCCUCACCUCCCAGACGCCACAGACAACAACAGGAGGCCAGGCCAGGCUCCCGGAGGCCAGAAAGUACACCACGCCCGCUGCUGCCUCACCACCAGCCUGAUCUAGAGGAGCUAAGUAGAUAGAGGCCGGGUCUCCCGACCAGCAGAUCGACGCAUCCACUCACCUUUCACGGCCAAGACCCCGAAUCCCGCGAGGUUCACCACAGGUUUGAGAUGGCGAGGCAGAGCCCGAGGGUCUGGCAGGGCCUCUGAACUGGGAAGGAGAGGCCAGGAAAGAAGCAGGAGAGGCUUUGUGGAGCCCCUGCCCCCAAGUCCCGGAGAGGCGCAACUGUAAAUAUUUAGCGUUUCCUGCGUGAGAACCGAGGCCAGAUCACCAGACCCCGCUGCCCAGGUCACCAGAGCCUGAUAACACAGGUUUUGGGGAAGAAGCCAGAGCCCUGAGGCUGAGACUGAGGCUCUCAACGGAAAGCGGAAAGCGGAAGGAGGCAAAUUACUCACAGAGGCUGGCUGGCCUUACCCAGAGUUUCCAGAGGUCAGGGAACAGAGUAUCAUCCUCAAUUUAGAACAUAUGCGGAGCCUCGGAAUGGAGAAAAUUGCCACGAUGACAACGCUGGCGCAAAUGGGCCGAGGCGGGAUUCGAACCGGUGGAUCUAUGUCUCUGACGCCUCAGAAUGCGCAGCCCCGCCCUGGUUUCUGUAGAAACAGGCACCCGGUGUCUCCAUAGCAACGCCUCGACUAAAUUCCACCCUCCCUCCCCGAGGCUACUUACUGCGCAUGCCUGGUGUGAGGUCACCGGAGCAGACGCCGGAAGUGAGCUUCGCAGCGCCGGAAGUGACCGGCAAAGGCGACCUCGUGGAGGAGAGGGCGGCAUGGGGCAGUCGGGGCGGGUGAGUGGUGGCGCCU